GGUUGAUCCUGCCAGCGGUGAUAUGCUUAUAUAAAAGAUUAAGCCAUGCAUGUCUACGAUCAUACUUUUAAUGGUGAAUCUGCGAACGGCUCAUUACAACAGCUAUAAUCUACUCGAUCUUGACUUCCUAAACGGAUAACUGCGAUAAUUUUGGAGCUAAUACGUGCACCAAGGCCUGAACUAACGUACGGGCGCACUUAUUAGUUUAAGACCAAUCGGGGAGACCCGUCCUGGUGACUCUGAAUAAUUUCGCUGAUCGCAUGGUCUAGUACCGGCGACGUAUCGUUCGAGU
rnacentral:rRNA from 1 species